UACGAAGGGGGGCUAGCGUUGCUCGGAAUCACUGGGCGUAAAGCGCACGUAGGCGGCUUUCUAAGUCAGGGGGUGAAAUCCUGGAGCUCAACUCCAGAACUGCCUUUGAUACUGGAAAGCUUGAGUUCGGGAGAGGGAUGCGGAAUUCCAGGUGUAGCGGUGAAAUGCGUAGAUAUCUGGAGGAACACCGGUGGCGAAGGCGGCAUCCUGGACCGAGAUUGACGCUGAGGCGCGAAAGCCAGGGGGAGCAAACGGG
rnacentral:rRNA from 1 species